rnacentral:rRNA from 1 species
CACGGAGGGUGCAAGCGUUAAUCGGAAUUACUGGGCGUAAAGCGCACGCAGGCGGCUGAGUCAGUCGAUUGUGAAAGCCCUGGGCUUAACCUGGGAAUUGCAGUCGAUACUACUCAGCUAGAGUAUGGGAGAGGGUAGUGGAAUUCCCGGUGUAGCGGUGAAAUGCGUAGAUAUCGGGAGGAACAUCAGUGGCGAAGGCGGCUACCUGGCCCAAUACUGACGCUCAGGUGCGACAGCGUGGGGAGCAAACAGG